UACGUAGGGUGCAAGCGUUAAUCGGAAUUACUGGGCGUAAAGCGUGCGCAGGCGGUGAUGUAGACAGAUGUGAAAUCCCGGCUCACCUGGGAACUGCAUUUGUGACUGCAUCGCUGGAGUGCGGCAGAGGGGGAUGGAAUUCCGCGUGUAGCAGUGAAAUGCGUAGAUAUGCGGAGGACACCGAUGGCGAAGGCAAUCCCCUGGGCCUGCACUGACGCUCGAUGACACGAAAGCGUGGGGAGCAAACAGG
rnacentral:rRNA from 1 species